rfam:Schistosoma rodhaini strain Burundi genome assembly, scaffold: SROB_scaffold0002856
GCACUGCUGAGGAGCCCUAUAAUAGGACGAAACGGCCGUCUAGUGC